rnacentral:misc_RNA from 1 species
AACGCACCUUGCGCUCCUUGGUAUUCCGAGGAGCAUGCCUGUUUGAGUGUCAUUUAAUUCUCAACCACACUUGGUUUUGUCAAGCUGGGCUGUGGUAUGGAUAUGGGGGUAUUACUAUUGCGGGCUUCGCUUGAGGUCAGCUCCCCUAAAAUGCAUUAGUAGAACGGUUUGUUGCCAGUCACCGGUGUGAUAAUUAUUUUCGCCCAAGACAAAGCUGCUCUCCGUCCGUUCAGCUCAUGAUUGUCACAUUAGUGACAACAUUUGAACACAUUGACCUCAAAUCAGGUAGGACUACCCGCUGAACUUAA